rnacentral:rRNA from 1 species
CCUACGGGUGGCUGCAGUCGAGAAUCUUCCGCAAUGGGCGAAAGCCUGACGGAGCGACGCCGCGUGAUUGACGAAGUCCUUAGGGAUGUAAAGAUCUUUUAUGAGGGAGAAAGUAAUUGAUAGUACCUCAUGAAUAAGGGGUUGCUAAACUCGUGCCAGCAGCAGCGGUAAUACGAGUGCCCCAAGCGUUAUCCGGAAUCAUUGGGCGUAAAGGGUGUGUAGGCGGCUGUGUUAGUCUCAUGUUAAAGCUCCCGGCUUAACCGGGAAAUCGCAUGGGAAACGGCACAACUAGAAGAUGCAAGGGGUCUGCGGAACUCAUGGAGUAGGGGUGAAAUCCGUUGAUAUCAUGGGGAACACCGAAAGCGAAGGCAGCAGACUGGUGCACUCUUGACGCUGAAACACGAAAGCGUGGGUAGCGAAUGGGAUUAGAUACCCUGGUA